rnacentral:lncRNA from 1 species
CUUCUCUUUCACUUGCAUGUGCAGUUGGCAUGGACAUAAAAGCAGGGAUAGCUGGUGCCUCAGCAUUACUAAACUUAGUUGAACUUUUCUAAAUAUAGAAAGAAGAAAGUGAACCAUUAGUCUACACAUUUUCAUUUAUUUUUCUCGAUCUGGUGGCAGUAUUUCUGCUUUGUAGGCCUCUACGCACGGCCUGGUCUCCAGCAACUAAAUCCCUUUCCCCC